rnacentral:rRNA from 1 species
UACGGGGGGGGCAAGCGUUGUUCGGAUUUACUGGGCGUAAAGGGCGCGCAGGCGGCUCAUUUUGUCAGGCGUGAAAGCCCCGGGCUUAACCUGGGAACUGCGUUUGAUACGGAUGGGCUAGAGUUCGGGAGAGGAGAGUGGAAUUCCCAGUGUAGAGGUGAAAUUCGUAGAUAUUGGGAAGAACACCGGUGGCGAAGGCGGCUCUCUGGACCGAUACUGACGCUGAGGCGCGAAAGCGUGGGGAGCAAACAGG